GUGGGGAAUUUUGCGCAAUGGGCGAAAGCCUGACGCAGCAACGCCGCGUGGAGGAUGAAGGCCUUCGGGUCGUAAACUCCUGUCGAUGGGGACGAAAGCCUCGCAAGAGGUUUGACUGUACCCGUUGAGGAAGCCACGGCUAACUCCGUGCCAGCAGCCGCGGUAAUACGGAGGUGGCAAGCGUUGUUCGGAAUUACUGGGCGUAAAGGGCGCGUAGGCGGCCUGACAAGUCAGAUGUGAAAGCCCCGGGCUUAACUCGGGAAUUGCAUCUGAAACUGUUGGGCUUGAGUCCUGGAGGGGAUGGUGGAAUUCCCAGUGUAGCGGUGAAAUGCGUAGAUAUUGGGAGGAACACCUGCGGCGAAGGCGGCCAUCUGGACAGUGACUGACGCUGAGGCGCGAAAGCUAGGGGAGCGAACGGGAUUAGAAACCCCUGUAGUCC
rnacentral:rRNA from 1 species